UGAGGAACAUGACCUUCGGCGGGGGAUAGCCGGCCCAACGGCCGGGUAAUACCGCGUACGACCACAUGGGGACAUCCCUGAGUGGUGAAAGCAGCAAUGCGCCGAUGGAGUGCCUCGCGGCCUAUCAGCUAGUUGGUGAGGUAACGGCUCACCAAGGCGACGACGGGUAGCUGGUCUGAGAGGAUGGCCAGCCACAUUGGGACUGAGACACGGUCCAGACCUGUACGGGAG
rnacentral:rRNA from 1 species